GCAUCGGUGGUUCAGUGGUAGAAUGCUCGCCUGCCACCUGGGUGGCCCGGGUUCGAUUCCCGGCCGAUGCA
rnacentral:tRNA from 1 species